GACGAACGCUGGCGGCGUGCUUAACACAUGCAAGUCGAACGGAAAGGCCCUGCUUUUGUGGGGUGCUCGAGUGGCGAACGGGUGAGUAACACGUGAGUAACCUGCCCUUGACUUUGGGAUAACUUCAGGAAACUGGGGCUAAUACCGGAUAGGAGCUCCUGCUGCAUGGUGGGGGUUGGAAAGUUUCGGCGGUUGGGGAUGGACUCGCGGCUUAUCAGCUUGUUGGUGGGGUAGUGGCUUACCAAGGCUUUGACGGGUAGCCGGCCUGAGAGGGUGACCGGCCACAUUGGGACUGAGAUACGGCCCAGACUCCUACGGGAGGCAGCAGUGGGGAAUAUUGCACAAUGGGCGGAAGCCUGAUGCAGCAACGCUGCGUGUGGGAUGACGGCCUUCGGGUUGUAAACCGCUUUCGCCUGUGACGAAGCGUGAGUGACGGUAAUGGGUAAAGAAGCACCGGCUAACUACGUG
rnacentral:rRNA from 1 species